AAGUGAGGACGACCUCACCUCUCAAAAAUUUUCAGGGGACGACCCCU
rnacentral:ncRNA from 1 species